rnacentral:rRNA from 1 species
UACGUAGGGGGCUAGCGUUGUCCGGAAUCAUUGGGCGUAAAGCGCGUGUAGGCGGUCCGGUAAGUCCGCUGUGAAAGUCGAGGGCUCAACCCUCGAAUGCCGGUGGAUACUGUCGGGCUUGAGUACGGGAGAGGCGAGUGGAAUUCCUGGUGUAGCGGUGAAAUGCGCAGAUAUCAGGAGGAACACCAGUGGCGAAGGCGACUACCUGGCCUGUUCUUGACGCUGAGGCGCGAAAGCUAGGGGAGCAAACAGG